GACACCGUGGCCGAGUGGUUAAGGCGACUGACUACUAAUCAGUUUGGGGGCAACCCCUCGCAAGUUCAAGUCUUGCCGGUGUCG
rnacentral:tRNA from 1 species